GUUUUUUAAGUCUGCUGUGAAAUCCCCGGGCUCAACCUGGGAAUGGCAGUGGAUACUGGAAAGCUAGAGUGCGGUAGAGGGUAGUGGAAUUCCCGGUGUAGCAGUGAAAUGCGUAGAGAUCGGGAGGAACACCAGUGGCGAAGGCGGCUACCUGGACCAGCACUGACACUGAGGCACGAAAGCGUGGGGAGCAAACAGGAUUAGAUACCCUGGUAGUCCACGCCCUAAACGAUGCGAACUGGAUGUUGGGUGCAACUUGGCACUCAGUAUCGAAGCUAACGCGUUAAGUUCGCCGCCUGGGGAGUACGGUCGCAAGACUGAAACUCAAAGGAAUUGACGGGGGCCCGCACAAGCGGUGGAGUAUGUGGUUUAAUUCGAUGCAACGCGAAGAACCUUACCUGGUCUUGACAUGUCCGGAACCUUGCAGAGAUGCGAGGGUGCCUUCGGGAAUCGGAACACAGGUGCUGCAUGGCUGUCGUCAGCUCGUGUCGUGAGAUGUUGGGUUAAGUCCCGCAACGAGCGCAACCCUUGUCCUUAGUUGCCAGCACGUAAAGGUGGGAACUCUAAGGAGACUGCCGGUGACAAACCGGAGGAAGGUGGGGAUGACGUCAAGUCCCCAUGGCCCUUACGGCCAGGGCUACACACGUACUACAAUGGUCGGUACAGAGGGUUGCAAUACCGCGAGGUGGAGCCAAUCCCAGAAAGCCGAUCCCAGUCCGGAUCGAAGUCUGCAACUCGACUUCGUGAA
rnacentral:rRNA from 1 species